rnacentral:tRNA from 1 species
CGGGGCGUAGCGCAGUUUGGUAGCGCACUUGCUUUGGGAGCAAGGGGCCGCAAGUUCAAAUCUUGUCGCCCCGACCA